UACGUAGGGUGCGAGCGUUGUCCGGAAUUAUUGGGCGUAAAGGGCUCGUAGGCGGUCUGUUGCGUCAGGAGUGAAAAACUCGGGGCUUAACCCCCGAGCCUGCUUCUGAUACGGGCAGACUAGAGGUAUGCAGGGGAGAACGGAAUUCCUGGUGUAGCGGUGAAAUGCGCAGAUAUCAGGAGGAACACCGAUGGCGAAGGCAGCUCGCUGGGACGGUACUGACGCUGAGGCGCGAAAGCGUGGGGAGCAAACAGG
rnacentral:rRNA from 1 species